GACGAACGCUGGCGGCGUGCUUAACACAUGCAAGUCGAACGGAAAGGCCCUGCUUUUGUGGGGUGCUCGAGUGGCGAACGGGUGAGUAACACGUGAGUAACCUGCCCUUGACUUUGGGAUAACUUCAGGAAACUGGGGCUAAUACCGGAUAGGAGCUCCUGCUGCAUGGUGGGGGUUGGAAAGUUUCGGCGGUUGGGGAUGGACUCGCGGCUUAUCAGCUUGUUGGUGGGGUAGUGGCUUACCAAGGCUUUGACGGGUAGCCGGCCUGAGAGGGUGACCGGCCACAUUGGGACUGAGAUACGGCCCAGACUCCUACGGGAGGCAGCAGUGGGGAAUAUUGCACAAUGGGCGGGAGCCUGAUGCAGCAACGCCGCGUGCGGGAUGACGGCCUUCGGGUUGUAAACCGCUUUCGCCUGUGACGAAGCGUGAGUGACGGUAAUGGGGAAAGAAGCACCGGCUAACUACGG
rnacentral:rRNA from 1 species